rnacentral:tRNA from 2 species
GCGCGCUUAGCUCAGUUGGUAGAGCACUCGACUGAUACUCGAGCGGUCCUAGGUUCGAAUCCUAGAGCGCGCACCA